AAGAACAUAGCUCAGUGGUAAAGUUUUCGACUGCAGAUCAAAAGGUCCCGGUUCAAAUCCGGGUGCCCCUUU